rnacentral:rRNA from 1 species
UACGUAGGGCGCAAGCGUUAUCCGGAAUUAUUGGGCGUAAAGAGCUCGUAGGCGGUCUGUCGCGUCGAUCGUGAAAACUUGGGGCUUAACCCUGAGCUUGCGGUCGAUACGGGCAUGACUGGAGUUCGGCAGGGGAGACUGGAAUUCCUGGUGUAGCGGUGAAAUGCGCAGAUAUCAGGAGGAACACCGGUGGCGAAGGCGGGUCCUCUGGGCCGAUACUGACGCUGAGGAGCGAAAGCGUGGGGAGCAAACAGG